GGGGAUAUAGCUCAGUGGCACAGCACUUGCCUGACAAGCAUGAAGUCAUGAAUUUGAUUAAUGGUACCCCCC
rnacentral:tRNA from 1 species